AACGUAGGAGGCAAGCGUUAUCCGGAGUUACUGGGCGUAAAGCGUGCGUAGGCGGGUUGGUACGUGGGGGGUGAAAGCGCUCGGCUAAACCGGGCGAGUGCCAUCCAGACUGCCAGUCUAGAGGCGGAUAGAGGGGUGCGGAAUUCCUGGUGUAGCGGUGAAAUGCGCAGAUAUCAGGAGGAACACCGAUGGCGAAGGCAAUCCCCUGGACCUGUACUGACGCUCAUGCACGAAAGCGUGGGGAGCAAACAGG
rnacentral:rRNA from 1 species